GUGCUCCCUUCAGCACAUGUAUAUAUACUAAAAUUGGAACAAUACAGAGAAGAUUAGCAUGGCUCCUGUGUAAGGAUGACAUGCAAAUAAAUUCAUGAAGCAUCCCAUUUAA
rnacentral:snRNA from 1 species